AUCAACUUUCGAUGGUAGGAUAGAGGCCUACCAUGGUGGUAACGGGUAACGGGGUGUUAGGGCACGACACCGGAGAGGGAGCCUGAGAAACGGCUACCACAUCCAAGGAUGGCAGCAGGCGCGCAAAUUACCCAAUCCCGACACGGGGAGGUAGUGACAAUAAAUAACAAUACGGGGUUCUUUCGGAUUUCGUAAUUGGAAUGAGUACAAUUUAAAUCUCUUAACGAGGAACAAUUGGAGGGCAAGUCUGGUGCCAGCAGCCGCGGUAAUUCCAGCUCCAAUAGCGUAUAUUAAAGUUGUUGCAGUUAAAAAGCUCGUAGUUGAAUUUCGGGGUCAGUAGAUUGGUCAUGCCUCCGGUAUGCACUGGUCUUACUGGCUCCUCCUUCCUGAUGAACCGUAAUGCCAUUAAUUUGAUGUUGCGGGGAGACUGGACUGUUACUUUGAAAAAAUUAGAGUGUUUAAAGCAGGCUAACGCUUGAAUACAUUAGCAUGGAAUAAUGAAAUAGGACGUUCGAUCUUAUUUUGUUGGUUUCUAGGAUUGACGUAAUGAUUAAUAGGGAUAGUUGGGGGCAUUAGUAUUCAAUUGUCAGAGGUGAAAUUCUUGGAUUUAUUGAAGACUAACUACUGCGAAAGCAUUUGCCAAGGAUGUUUUCAUUAAUCAAGAACGAAAGUUAGGGGAUCGAAGACGAUCAGAUACCGUCGUAGUCUUAACCAUAAACUAUGCCGACUAGGGAUCGGAUGAUGUUAAUUUUUUAAUGACUCAUUCGGCGCCUUACGGGAAACCAAAGUGUUUGGGUUC
rnacentral:rRNA from 1 species